UGUGUUUAGUGCAGCCGGCUCCUAAUUGACCACAGCUUUGGUUGAAAGAAGCUCACCGUUGGCUCCAGACUUGUCCAUUUCAUCCAAGGAGUUGAAGCUGCCGCGCACCUCAUCAGUCUGAUGAACGCACAAGAAAAGAGGAUCAGCGGCAAGGGACCCGGACGUUCUGCAAGCUACAGAAAGUCAUUUUCUAACCGCCUGUGUGGUGGCGGCCGUCACCGAAGCAUCACCGGAGAAGAAGGGCCUGCGAGUCGCCGACAAGCGGACGAGAAGCGAUGACACAUCGGUUCGAAGGCAGAGCACCGACUCGGUUCCGAAACCCGACCCAACCGUCCGCUUGGUCGACUCGUUGCCGACGUGUGACGAUCGGCCGUGUAAACGGCGUGUUGCAACGGACACGCGUGAGCGCUUUGAUGGCGGCACGGAGCAUUUCUAUGCAGGCUGGUUUGCUUCCGCGCGCUGCGUGCAUUUGUGUCUUAUCCUGAAUAAAAACGCUCAACAAGCA